GAUGAACGCUGGCGGCGUGCUUAACACAUGCAAGUCGAACGAAGCACUUUGAAAGCUUGCUUUUAAAGUGACUGAGUGGCGGACGGGUGAGUAACGCGUGGGUAACCUGCCCUCAUACGAGGGGGAUAACAGUUGGAAACGACUGCUAAUACCGCAUAAUACCAUAGUGUCGCAUGGCACAUUGGUCUAAACUUUUUGGGUGUGAGAUGGGCCCGCGUCUGAUUAGCUAGUUGGUGAGGUAACGGCCCACCAAGGCGACGAUCAGUAGCCGACCUGAGAGGGUGAUCGGCCACAUUGGAACUGAGAUACGGUCCAGACUCCUACGGGAGGCAGCAGUGGGGAAUAUUGGGGCAAUGGGGCAAAAGCCUGACCCAGCAACGCCGCGUGAAGGAAGAAGGUCUUCGGG
rnacentral:rRNA from 1 species